AAAAAAUUAAAAAUCAGAAAUAGAAACUAGAAAUUAUUUGGAGACUAAUGCAAUUGGUCCCAUAAUUUUUGGAUUUAAAAUGAGAGAGAUAUGAUUUUUUUAAAUAAAAGGAAUUAAAGAAAAUAAAAAUCAGAAAAUAAAAAAUGCAAAAAACAAGGAGCGUUAGAUCUGAGCUCAUUAAUUGAGCUGGCAGAUCACACGCUCCAAAGG
rnacentral:lncRNA from 1 species